rnacentral:rRNA from 1 species
AGGGAAAUGGGGCUCUUUGGAAUUUCAUGGUCCAGCUCAGCGGACAAAUGUGGAGGGAUAUUCUGCAGAAUUUGGGCCUUUCCCCGGUUGAUUCCCGACCGGGCCCGACUGGCUUUCGGGAUUGGGGAUGUUAGCCAGGCGGAGUUGGACCGUCCUUCCUAUUGGGGGAGAGACGUGGCGUACGGGCUCAGUUACAAAGUAAGUCAGCCGGCCCUAGAGACAAAGUACAACUCCGGGAAACUGGGGGUUGAUCCUUGAUAGGUCAUCUCGUCGGGAAGGAGAGAUGGCUUAAAGGGGUACGCGGGGCUUCUUCCGCGAAUCUUCUCCAGGAUGGGACGGCGUCCGAUCAGUCUGUUGGCGGGGUAGUGGCCCACCAAACAUGUAACCGGUACGGACCUUGUGAGAGGUGGCCCGGAGAUGGACUCUGAGAGAAGAGUCCAGGUCCUACGGGGCGCAGCAGGCGCGAAACCUUCGCAAUGCGCGAAAGCGUGACGAGGUUAAUCCGAGUGACUCCCGCUGAGGGGGUCUUUUGUCAGCUGUAAAUAGGCAGGCGAAUAAGUGGAGGGCAAGCAUGUUGUCAGCCGCCGCGGUAAUACCAGCUCCUCGAGUGGUCGGGGCGAUUGUUGGGCGUAAAUCAUCCGUAGCUGGUUCGGUAGGUCAUUUGUUAAAUCCAACCGCUUAACGGUUGGCCUGCAGAGGAUACCGCGGGCCUAGGAGGCGGGAGAGGCGGACGGUACUCCGCGUGUAGGGGUAAGAUCCUUUGAUCCGCGGAAGACCGCCAGUGGGGGAGGCGGUCCGCCAGAACGCGCUGGUCGGUGAGGGAUGAAAGCUGGGGGAGCGAACCGGAUUAGAUGCCCGGGUAGUAGCAGCAGUAAUCGAUGCUAGCUAGAUGAUUCAUUCGCAAGUUGCGAAUGAAGUGUCGCAGGGAAGCCGUUGAGCUAUCA